ACUGAAUAGAUACCCUGGUAGUCCCAGCCGUAAACGAUGCGCGUUAGGUGUAUCGGUGACCACGAGUCACCGAGGUGCCGAAAGGGAAACCGUGAAACGUGCCGCCUGGGAAGUACGGUCGCAAGGCUGAAACUUAAAGGAAUUGGCGGGGGAGCACCACAACAGGUGGAGCCUGCGGUUUAAAUCGGACUCAACGCCGGGAACCUCACCGGAUAAGACAGCGGGAUGAUAGCCAGGCCGAAGACUUUGCUUGACUAGCUGGGAGGAGGUGCAUGGCCGUCGUCAGUUCGUACUGUGAAGCAUCCUGUUAAGUCAGGCAACGAGCGAGACCCACGCCAACAGUUGCUAGCAUGU
rnacentral:rRNA from 1 species